rnacentral:rRNA from 1 species
GUCGAACGGAAAUUAGUUUCGGUUAAUUUUAGUGGCGGACGGGUGAGUAACACGUGAGAAUUCGCCUUUAGGAGGGGGAUAACGGAUGGAAACAUUCGCUAAAACCCCAUAUGCCCCUGGGUGAAACAGAGGAGAUAAGUAAUACUGAUUCACCUCUGCCUGAAGAGAAGCUCGCGGCUGAUUAGCUAGUUGGUAGGGUAAAGGCCUACCAAGGCGACGAUCAGUAGCAGGUCUGAGAGGACGAUCAGCCACACUGGAACUGAGACACGGUCCAGACUCCUACGGGAGGCAGCAGUGAGGAAUUUUCUGCAAUGGGCGAAAGCCUGACAGAGCAAUACCGCGUGAGGGAUGAAGACUUACUAAGUUGUAAACCUCGGUACCUUAAGGAAGAAGAUCUGACGGUACUUAAGGUGGAAAGCAUCGGCUAACUCCGUGCCAGCAGCCGCGGUAAGACGGGGGAUGCAAGUGUUAUCCGGAUUUACUGGGCGUAAAGCGUCUGCAGGUGGUUUCUUAAGUCUACUGUUAAAUCUUGAGGCUCAACCUCAAAUCUGCAGUAGAAACUAGGAGACUUGAGUAUAGCAGGGGUAGAGGGAAUUUCCAGUGGAGCGGUGAAAUACGUAGAUAUUGGAAAGAACACCGAUGGCGAAGGCACUCUACUGGGCUAUUACUGACACUCAGAGACGAAAGCUAGGGGAGCAAAUGGGAUUAGAUACCCCAGUAGU